rnacentral:lncRNA from 1 species
GGAUAGUGACACUUACAUAUAAUUUCAGCACUCAGGAGGCUGAGGCAGGAGGAUCUCAAAUUGGAGGCCCGCCUGGACUACAUAGCAAGUCCAAGUCUGGUCUGAAUUACAGAGCAGGACCCUGUCUCAAAACAAAACAAGACAAGACAAGACAAAACAAAACAAAACAAAGCAGCAAGGCUGGCAGCAUGCAGCUGCAGAGUCCUGCCCUGCCUUACCAGCCUUUCCCUACCCCUGGUGAGUGCAGAGAGCAGGGAGCUGGGAACGCCUCUCUCGCGCGCCCUCUGCUGUGACCUCACAUCACUGCAGCACACCUGUCCCAGGCAGUGCGGGGCUGGUCGUCAUGGAGCUCCUCCCACCCCACCUUCGACCUCGGGGUUCCAUCCGGGGUGGCAGGCUGCCCGCAGGCCUCGUGCCACCUGCGCGUCCUGGGGACAGUCUCCCAGACUAGCUUUUGAACUCCUGCACGGUGGGCGACAGAGGCCAGGGUGUUGACACACGGGCGGCUGUCCCGGCCCAGAGCUGCCCAGGGGCUCUGUGCAGCGCUUCUGCCUGGUGCUAGGCGCCGCCGGGCACCUGCCAGGCCUGCGGGACGGAGGGAGCACUCCUGCCGCUCAGGACCACGGCUGUUCACAGAGGCCUCCGCGCACACACUUGACGCAGGUGGCCAGAUCUGUCCAGCUUUCAAAACACACCAUCCGCGGUGUGAGGACGGAGGGGAGGCGGUCCUGGGCCUGCCUGCCUCGCUGCGCAGUCCCUGCUCCUCGGUUCUGGCCAGGGAGAGUCCGGGAGUGGCCAGGAGGCUGAAGUUUGAGGCCCACAGUGGAAACAGAGGCUGGGGAAGGACCUUGGCCCUGUCUCCCGGGGCAGCCUGGCCGUCUGCCCGUGGGCACACCGUACCUCAAAGAGAAAAGCAAGUGGCUGACAAGCCCAGACACACACAGGGCAUUCCAGCAGAGACAGAGGGGCAGACGCGUCCCCAGGAUAGCGCGGACAGGAGGGUCAGCAGGAUGCCAGAGGAACCAGCGCAGGAACCUGGGCUGGGAUGCAGCAGCACCGGAGCGAAGGAGCCGCGGCAGACCCCGCGGAGGACACGUGAAAGGGCGGCUGCGGCGGAGGCCUGACACGCUGUUCCUCCUUCCCGGCCUGCUCCCCGGCGUUCUGAGGCUCUUUCCGGUACAUUCCCUUUUCAGUCACCCGUUUCAGUUCGAAUUGCACUCUGUGCAAACAAGGAACUCUGACACAUGUCAGGAAACGGCUGUCCCAGCCACAACUUGGCAUUUCCUUUCUCUCUCUCUCCCUUUCCCUCCCCUUCCCUUUCCUUUCCUUCUUUCCUUCCUUUCUUUUUUUUCUUUCUUGUACUGAAGAUUGAACCUAGGGCUUUACACAUGCUAGGUAAACACUUGACUUGCUUUUCUGAUUGUUGGGACAAAAUACCUGACACCCAAAGUUAAGGAAGGAAAGGUUUACUUAGCUCACAGUUUGUGGAGGUUUCAGUCCAUAAUCAGGGUGGAGGUUUCAGUCCAUAAUCAGCUGGCCCCAAGGCAGGGUGGCAUGGCAGAGGAGCAACAGUUCAUGGCUGCAAGGACGACAAAAGCAACAAGAGCAAAAGGGAAGGAGCAAGCCUCUUUUCCUCCCUUACAUUGUAACCAGGCUACGCACCCUAGCGUGGGUGUAGCAUUCACAGCCGCAACCCCAGCACUAGACAAUGAACCAACUGCAAACUCUAGAUUCAGCCGCCUCUGAAAAGCCUUCCCCCCUUGACUAUAUGAGGCUUUGGGGGGGUCAUCUAGACAUAAACCAUAACAAAACUCUACUGCUGAGCUACACCCCCAGCCCUUUUAAUUUUUAUUCUGAGACAGGGUCUCACUAUGUUGCCCAGGCUAGCCUCAAACUUGUGAUGUUCCUGCCUCAGCCUCCUGGGUAGCUUGAAUUGCAGGUGUGCACCACCAUGCCUGGCUGGCAUUUUCUCCUAGUAAACAAUGACAUACUAUACAGCUUCAGAUUCCUGGGUGAAGCAGCCUGUUCAGCCGGCUCAUGUCAGCUAUCCUCUCAUGUCCACUCGGCUGGGCCUCGGAAGAAGGCAGGGUGUCAAGAUGCAAGUCGGUGGGGGAGGCUGGCACAAUGUGUGUCCACAUGCAGUUCUGAGGACUGUGCGGGUGCAUUUCUGAGGGGUCCUAGUCAUACUGUAGACACUGAAAAUGCCUCUAGUCAGAAUUUUAACAGGUGGCAGUAAAGUAUGCUGAGAAAGGAACACAAUCCUUAUGUAAGGGCUCCACAGGGUAGUGGUGACCCCAGGCUGGGCUCGCUUCUCAACUAGCAAAGCGCUAGUUCUCAGGGAAGAUGGCGUGGUUUAGCGCUGUGAUACUGCAGUGAAAUACCAGAAAGAGGGCACCUGUGAAGAAAGGUUUAAGGUUUAUUUAGCUCACACAUCUGGAGGUUCAGAUUCAAGAUCAGGCAGCAGAGAGAGAGAGGGGCGGGGAGAACACUCCCGCUUCUUUGUAUCUGUCUAACUGCUUCUUUUUUUUUUGGUACCAAGACUCGAACUCAGGACCUUGGGCUUGCCAGGCAGGUGCUUGUGCUAUAUCCCUGGCCCCUGUCUGUCUAACUGCUUCUGACCACAGCUUUCAGAGCUGCUUUACUCCCCUGCCUCAGCAGACUGGGAGGAGACAGCCAGGGUGGCGGCAGCGGGCGAGCUCAGUGGAACCCUUGCCCAGCAUGUGUGUGGCCCUGGGCUGAUCCCCAGCACUGUGGAAAAGAAGACGACCCAGAAAGUAGCUCCCUCCCAGACGCACACCACCAGACAAAGGCAUGAAACCCCGGGAAAUGAGCUCACGAAGAAAAAUAAGGCACCCGGGUCAUGUGAUGUCUGUAAAAGAAAUCUAAAAAAAUGAGGAAGAGAAUUAAUGGACUAGUGAGAACAAGAAUUUGAAGUAAUCAUAAAAACAUCCUAUAAGAGAAAAUGGAGAUCAUUAUAUAUUUGGAACAGGAAUGAUACCUAUAAAGAAGUUAUCAAGUACAGAAGAAUAGCUGGGACACAAAGUUUAGUGUGUAAGUGGAGUAGGAAAUAGAUUCAGACUAAGAAUCAAUUCCUAAGCUGGAAGGUAAGCCUGCAAACUCUCCCAGAAUGUGUCAGGAAGGAAUAAAGGGGUAAAAAGUACAAGGGUAAAGUGACUAAAUCCAGAAGAUAGACAUGUCUCCAAAAUGGGAGUUCCAGAAGAGAAGGGAGAAAAUCUGGAAGUAAAUAUCUGAAAAAUAGUAACUAAGUGAAUUCCCAGCUCUGAAGGUGUCGGUCAGUGGUAAAAUGUGUGAUUCUAAUGCACAAACAAAACAAAACUGAAAAACAAAUUCCUAGACUUCCCAGAAUUACAGACAGGAUACUAAGAAGAUAGGUGAGGAAAAAAAACAAUAACACUGGAGAGCAGCAUAGUAAAAUUU